rnacentral:rRNA from 1 species
UACGUAGGGUGCAAGCGUUGUCCGGAAUUAUUGGGCGUAAAGAGCUUGUAGGCGGUUUGUCGCGUCUGCUGUGAAAUUUCGGGGCUCAACCCCGAACUUGCAGUGGGUACGGGCAGACUAGAGUGUGGUAGGGGAGACUGGAAUUCCUGGUGUAGCGGUGAAAUGCGUAGAUAUCGUAAGGAAGACCAGUGGCGAAGGCGGGUCUCUGGACAGUUCCUGACGCUGAGACGCGAAAGCGUGGGGAGCGAACAGG